rnacentral:rRNA from 1 species
UACGUAGGGGGCAAGCGUUGUCCGGAUUUACUGGGCGUAAAGAGCGUGUAGGCGGCCACGCAGGUCCGUUGUGAAACUGGAGGCUCAACCUCCAGCUGUCGACGGAAACCGUGUGGCUAGAGUCCGGAAGAGGAGAGUGGAAUUCCUGGUGUAGCGGUGAAAUGCGUAGAUAUCAGGAGGAAUACCGGUGGUGUAGACGGCUCUCUGGACCGCCACUGACGCUGAGACACGAAAGCGUGGGUAGCAAACAGG